rnacentral:rRNA from 1 species
UCGGGAAUUUUGGGCAAUGGGCGAAAGCCUGACCCAGCAACGCCGCGUGAAGGAUGAAGUAUUUCGGUAUGUAAACUUCGAAAGAAUAGGAAGAAUAAAUGACGGUACUAUUUAUAAGGUCCGGCUAACUACGUGCCAGCAGCCGCGGUAAUACGUAGGGACCAAGCGUUGUUCGGAAUUAUUGGGCGUAAAGGGCGCGUAGGCGGCCUGGUAAGUCAGACGUGAAAUCCCUCGGCUCAACCGAGGAACUGCGUUUGAAACUGCCGGGCUUGAGUCCCGGAGAGGGUAGUGGAAUUCCCAGUGUAGCGGUGAAAUGCGUAGAUAUUGGGAGGAACACCAGUGGCGAAGGCGACUACCUGGACGGGUACUGACGCUGAGGCGCGAAAGCAUGGGUAGCAAACAGGAUUAGAUACCCCUGUAGUCCCUGAGCGGGCUGGCAAGGCGCAU